UACGAAGGGGGCUAGCGUUGCUCGGAAUUACUGGGCGUAAAGCGCACGUAGGCGGUCUUUUAAGUCGGGGGUGAAAUCCUGGAGCUCAACUCCAGAACUGCCUUCGAUACUGGAAGACUUGAGUCCGGGAGAGGUGAGUGGGAACUGCGAGUGUAGAGGUGAAAAUUCGUAGAUAUUCGCAAAGAACACCAGUGGCGAAGGCGGCUCACUGGCCCGGUACUGACGCUGAGGUGCGAAAGCGUGGG
rnacentral:rRNA from 1 species